GUGGGGAAUAUUGGACAAUGGGCGAAAGCCUGAUCCAGCCAUGCCGCGUGUGUGAAGAAGGUCUUCGGAUUGUAAAGCACUUUAAGUUGGGAGGAAGGGCAGUAAGUUAAUACCUUGCUGUUUUGACGUUACCGACAGAAUAAGCACCGGCUAACUUCGUGCCAGCAGCCGCGGUAAUACGAAGGGUGCAAGCGUUAAUCGGAAUUACUGGGCGUAAAGCGCGCGUAGGUGGUUUUGUAAGUUGGAGGUGAAAUCCCCGGGCUCAACCUGGGAACUGCCUCCAAAACUGCAUGACUAGAGUACGGUAGAGGGUAGUGGAAUUUCCUGUGUAGCGGUGAAAUGCGUAGAUAUAGGAAGGAUCACCAGUGGCGAAGGCGACUACCUGGACUGAUACUGACACUGAGGUGCGAAAGCGUGGGGAGCAAACAGGAUUAGAAACCCGAGUAGUCC
rnacentral:rRNA from 1 species